rnacentral:rRNA from 1 species
UUCCGGUUGAUCCUGCCGGACCCUACUGCUAUCGGGGUGGGACUAAGACAUGCGAGUCGAGCGUCUCUAGCUAUGUUGAGACGCGGCAGACGGCUCAGUAACACGUGGCUAACCUACCCUCAGGACGAGAAUAAACCCGGGAAACUGGGGCUAAUACUCGAUAGGUGAGGAUGUCUGGAAUGAUUUCUCACUCAAAGGGCCUUGGAAACAUGCUUCCAUUGUCGCCUGGGGAUGGGGCCGCGUCCGAUCAGGUUGUUGGUGAGGUAAUGGCUCACCAAGCCUAUAACCGGUACGGGCCGUGAGAGCGGUAGCCCGGAGAUAAGUACUGAGACAAGGACCCAGGCCCUACGGGGCGCAGCAGUCGCGAAAACUCCGCAAUGCACGAAAGUGUGACGGGGCUACCCCGAGUGCCGUCCGCUGAGGAUGGCUUUUCUUUGGUAUAACUAGCCGGGGGAAUAAGGAGAGGGCAAGACUGGUGUCAGCCGCCGCGGUAAUACCAGCUCUCCGAGUGGUAGGGAUGAUUAUUGGGCUUAAAGCGUCCGUAGCCGGCUUAGCAAGUCUCCUGUUAAAUUCAGCGACCUAAUCGUUGAGCCGCGGGAGAUACUACUAGGCUAGGAGGCGGGAGAGGUCGACGGUAUUUCCGGGGUAGGGGUGAAAUCCUAUAAUCCCGGGAGGACCACCAGUGGCGAAGGCUGUCGACUAGAACGCGCUCGACGGUGAGGGACGAAAGCUGGGGGAGCGAACCGGAUUAGAUACCCGGGUAGUCCCAGCCGUAAACGAUGCGGGCUAGGUGUUGGGGUGGCUACGUGCCACUUCAGUGCCGCAGGGAAGCCAUUAAGCCCGCCGCCUGGGGAGUACGGCCGCAAGGCUGAAACUUAAAGGAAUUGGCGGGGGAGCACCACAAGGCGUGAAGCUUGCGGUUCAAUUGGGAUUCAACGCCGGGAAAUCAC